rnacentral:rRNA from 1 species
UGCAACCUGAGCUCAGACGUGAUUACCCGCUGAACUUAAGCAUAUCAUUUAGCGGAGGAAAAGAAACUAACUAGGAUUCCCACAGUAACGGCGAGUGAACUGGGAAAAGCCCAGCGCUGAAUCUUUCGAUGUUACAUCGUAAAGAAAUGUAGCGUAUAGGUGUAGUUAUCGGUUUGUUUGGCGUAUCCAAAGUUCCUUUGAUAGGGGCCAUAUUCCAGAGAGGGUGCGAGACCUGUGCGGAUAGCGGAACAUGCCGUAUGAUUAUACCUUGGAGUCGGGUUGCUUGAAAGUGCAGCCUUAAGUGGGUGAUAAACUUCAUCUAAGGCUAAAUACGGACGCGAAUUCGAUAGCAAACAAGUACUGUGAAGGAAAGUUGCAAAGAACUUUGAAGAGAGAGUUCAAGAGAACGUGAAAUCGUUGAAGUGGAACCGGAGAGAGUUGACGUAGUAUGGUGGAUAAGUAUUGCAAGAAUCGCUUCAAACAAUGAACGUGAUCGAGCAGUAUGUACGUCACCAAUGACUGCGCUGACAGCAUCGACUACACGCUCUGAACCGUGUUGACAUGUUGCCUACUCUAGUAUAUAGAGUGGUGUCUUGUGUUACGUGGUGAAGUUUGUUGUUGUGUGUUGAUGUUGAUACGUGGAGCAUAAUUAUACAACGAGUAUAAUUAUGUGUGUCAGUGUAAAAGUCGACCACCUCUCCGACCCGUCUUGAAACACGGACCGAGGAGUGUAACUUGUACGCGAGUCAAUGGGUGAAAAACCUUAAGGCGAAAUGAAAGUGAAGGUACGGUUAACCGGCUGACAUGGGAAACGUCCGGCGGCAUUGUUGACGAGACGUUACACCAUGGCCCUGUCUUGUCUGCAUGCAGAUGGGCAGCGGUAGAGCGUACAGGUUGCGACCCGAAAGAUGGUGAACUAUGCCUGAGCAGGACGAAGCCAGAGGAAACUCUGGUGGAAGUCCGUAUCGGUUCUGACGUGCAAAUCGAUCGAUAGACUUGGGUAUAGGGGCGAAAGACUAAUCGAACCAUCUAGUAGCUGGUUCCCUCCGAAGUUUCCCCCAGGAUAGCUGGAGUUCGUUGCGGUUAUAUCCGGUAAAGCGAAUGAUUAGAGGACUUGGGGUCGAAACGACCUCAACCUAUUCUCAAACUUUCAAUGGGUAUGUUGUCUCGGUUUCUUUAUAACUACUACUACUACUACUACUAUUGUUGUUGUUGUUGUUGUUGAACUGUUGACACGAACGUGAACUCUAAGUGGGCCAUUUUUGGUAAGCAGAACUGGCGCUGUGGGAUGAACCAAACGUUGGGUUAAGGUGCCAAAGUUUUCGCUCAUGAGAUCCCAUAAAAGGCGUUGGUUGAUAUAGACAGCAGGACGGUGGCCAUGGAAGUCGGUAUCCGCUAAGGAGUGUGUAACGACUCACCUGCCGAAUCAACUAGCCCUGAAAAUGGAUGGCGCUUGAGCGAAAGACCUAUACCUAACCGUUGCUGGCAUGUGUGUGUGUGUGCGUGUGUGUAUGUGUUAUACGCCUGGCCGCAACGAGUAGGAGGGUCGUGGCGGUUGCGCUGAAGGCUUUGGGCGUAGGCCCGGCUGGAGCUUCCGUCAGUGCAGAUCUCGGUGGUAGUAGCAAAUAUUUAAGUUCGAUCCUUGAAGACUGAAGUGGAGAAGGGUUCCACGUGAACAGUAGUUGAAUGUGGGUCAGUCGAUCCUAAGAUACUGGCUUAUGCCUUGUAUCACUGAGAGGGAGAAGUUCACUUUUUCUCUCGGAUAUCAAAAGGGAAUAGGGUUAAUAUUCUCUAACGUAGACACAGAGAUUGCGAUUCUUUUGAGUCGCUUGCGCGGUAACGCAUUCGAACUUGGUUACGUCGCUCAGAGAUCGAGCUAGAGUUCUCUUCUCUAGUUAAGGAACGGACUCCCUGGAAUCGGUUCAGCCGUAUAUAGGGACGUUGUUUCCGUAAAGCAUCGCGGUUUUUGUGAUGUCUCGUGUUCUUUGGACGGCCCUUGAAAAACCAAGGAAGGCAAUUAAUCUGUGCUACAUCGUACCAAUAUCCGCAUCAGGUCUCCAAGGUGAACAGCCUCUAGUCGAUAGAAUAAUGUAGGUAAGGGAAGUCGGCAAAUUAGAUCCGUAACUUCGGGAAAAGGAUUGGCUCCAGUGACCGGGUCGGUUGGCCUGUUAAUUGAUGCUUGUGUGAUUUUGUCCGAGACCGGCAAAUGUUCGUACUCGUACGCGCUGACGCUGGACUAGUGAUAAGAUCGCCUUGUGGACGUUUACAGGUGUGUGCUUUGUCUUCGGGCUUAGUAUCCUGACCGACCAUGAAAACGGUCGAACUGGAACUGGUACGGACUCGGGGAAUCCGACUGUCUAAUUAAAACAGAGGAGACAGAUGGUCCUUGAGGACGUUUACUGUCUCUGAUUUCUGCCCAGUGCUCUGAAUGUUAAAUCGUAGUAAUUCGAGUAAGCGCGGGUAAACGGCGGGAGUAACUAUGACUCUCUUAAGGUAGCCA